rnacentral:lncRNA from 1 species
AUGAUAACAGCUAUGCUAGCUCCAGAGGAUUCCCUAGUCCUGGAUUUAUGGGCGGACGUUUGCCAGCGCCGCGGAGUGGACAUUCCUAGAGCCGAUUUUGAGGCUCUCUAUCUCUGGGGAAAAAGACAUGGUUUUUUUCUUACCGCUGAAAAAUCGACGUCGAAAGACUAUUGGCAGUCCCUAGGCGAUGCCUUGUUCUUCCAUUUGGUGUUUUCUGGAGACGCGGAGGUGGCCAAACUGCUUCUGCCUUGGAAAAAAAUUAUUACGAUGCUUCAGAGCUAUGGAGAGAACUCUAACUCCGACAUCUCGACAGAGGAAGAGGUCUCGGAGCGCGGCUCCGAAGGAAGGAUGGAGUCUGAUCCAGACGGUGCUCUGGUGGAUUUUGAGUCGCCAGUGACUGGGGCGGUCUUUGGACAGGGCUGCGCUUUUGGGGUUCGCUCUCCCGCCCGGCCCAAUGCUAUGUACUCGGCUGGCCUGUCCCUUUGGGAAUCUAACCCACGGAUGGGGAAUUCGCCUCCCGUGCCGCAGGUUGCAGACGGCCGGCAGCAAGACGGUGGGGUUGAGACUCUCGGAAACCCUCUCCUCCCCUCUCAGCCGGGGCCACUCUGCUCUGCGCUCGGGGAACUGCGGGUUGGAGGGGAACGAUCCAUUCUCUGUGCCUUUCCCGCUGUGAAGGGGAAUGGAAAGCCGGCGGCUCGAUCUCCGCCGCCGGCGGCAGACGGACCUCAGGGGUCGGUCUCUGUGGUCUGUGAGAACUGUGCGGUUCCUGCGAUGGUCCCUGUUAGUGCCGCGGGCCCAUCUCCAGUGCCCCGCAAAGGGGGGAGAUCGGCCCCUGUUCCCAGGCCGACCCUUGCUCCGGCGGCGGCCGCUGUCCGAGCGGCGGGCGGCUCCGCGCCUGUUGCACAGCCGAUCACCGCCGGCGGGGGAGCUGCUGGAGCCCCCGCCAGCCCCGCACCGCGCUGUGCGGAGAAUUCCGCAAAUUCGGCUGUUCAGCCGGCAGGCGAGCCGGCAGCCGGAGGCUCUGUCGACCCGCGGCCGGACCCAGUCCCCUCGGGGGGCUGCGCCGCUCCUGUGCGGGCCGGGCCCCCAGCGCGCCCCAGCUCCCCACCCUGCCCCGCGCCCCCCCAUUCCGCGGGCGGGACCGGUCCUUUGCCGGGACCGCUUCUCCCCGAGGCUCCCUCCCCCGUCGCGGUGGCGGGCACGGGCGACACGGCAGGUGCCGGGGCCCUCCUGGACACACCUUCUCUCCCUGCAGCGCCGGGCGUGGGUGACGGCGAUCCUCUGCCGCCCCAGCCCUCCCGAGCGCCGGAUUUGGACGCGCUGCUUGGGUCCGAGUCUGCUGUGGGCUCUGUACUGCAGGCAUCUGCAGACCCU